rnacentral:rRNA from 1 species
UAGGGAAUUUUCGUCAAUGGGCGCAAGCCUGAACGAGCAAUGCCGCGUGAACGAGGAAGGUCUUCGGAUCGUAAAGGUUCUGUUGAAGGGGAAAAAGAGCGGAGAGAGGAAAUGCUUUCUGAUUGAUAUUACCCUUCGAGGAAGUCACGGCUAACUACGUGCC